rnacentral:rRNA from 1 species
UGGGGAAUAUUGGACAAUGGGCGAAAGCCUGAUCCAGCCAUGCCGCGUGUGUGAAGAAGGUCUUCGGAUUGUAAAGCACUUUAAGUUGGGAGGAAGGGCAGUAAGCGAAUACCUUGCUGUUUUGACGUUACCGACAGAAUAAGCACCGGCUAACUCUGUGCCAGCAGCCGCGGUAAUACAGAGGGUGCAAGCGUUAAUCGGAAUUACUGGGCGUAAAGCGCGCGUAGGUGGUUCGUUAAGUUGAAUGUGAAAGCCCCCGGCUCAACCGGGGAGGGUCAUUGGAAACUGGGAGACUUGAGUGCAGAAGAGGAGAGUGGAAUUUCCUGUGUAGCGGUGAAAUGCGUAGAUAUAGGAAGGAACACCAGUGGCGAAGGCGACCACCUGGGCUCAUACUGACACUGAGGUGCGAAAGCGUGGGGAGCAAACAGG